AGAAGUGCGAAUGCUGACAUAAGUAACGAUAAUGCGGGUGAAAAACCCGCACGCCGGAAGACCAAGGGUUCCUGUCCAACGUUAAUCGGGGCAGGGUGAGUCGACCCCUAAGGCGAGGCCGAAAGGCGUAGUCGAUGGGAAACAGGUUAAUAUUCCUGUACUUGGUGUUACUGCGAAGGGGGGACGGAGAAGGCUAUGUUAGCCGGGCGACGGUUGUCCCGGUUUAAGCAUGUAGGCGGAGGUUCCAGGUAAAUCCGGUACCUUUUUAACGCUGAGGUGUGAUGACGAGGCACUACGGUGCUGAAGUAACAAAUGCCCUGCUUCCAGGAAAAGCCUCUAAGCAUCAGGUAACACGAAAUCGUACCCCAAACCGACACAGGUGGUCAGGUAGAGAAUACCAAGGCGCUUGAGAGAACUCGGGUGAAGGAACUAGGCAAAAUGGUGCCGUAACUUCGGGAGAAGGCACGCUGAUAUGUAGGUGAAGUGAUUUACUCAUGGAGCUGAAAUCAGUCGAAGAUACCAGCUGGCUGCAACUGUUUAUUAAAAACACAGCACUGUGCAAACACGAAAGUGGACGUAUACGGUGUGACGCCUGCCCGGUGCCGGAAGGUUAAUUGAUGGGGUUAUCCGUAAGGAGAAGCUCUUGAUCGAAGCCCCGGUAAACGGCGGCCGUAACUAUAACGGUCCUAAGGUAGCGAAAUUCCUUGUCGGGUAAGUUCCGACCUGCACGAAUGGCGUAAUGAUGGCCAGGCUGUCUCCACCCGAGACUCAGUGAAAUUGAACUCGCUGUGAAGAUGCAGUGUACCCGCGGCAAGACGGAAAGACCCCGUGAACCUUUACUAUAGCUUGACACUGAACACUGGUCCUUGAUGUGUAGGAUAGGUGGGAGGCUUUGAAGUGUGGACGCCAGUCUGCAUGGAGCCAUCCUUGAAAUACCACCCUUUAAUGGCUGGUGUUCUAACGUGGACCCGUAAUCCGGGUUGCGGACAGUGUCUGGUGGGUAGUUUGACUGGGGCGGUCUCCUCCUAAAGAGUAACGGAGGAGCACGAAGGUUAGCUAAUCCUGGUCGGACAUCAGGAGGUUAGUGCAAAGGCAUAAGCUAGCUUGACUGCGAGAGUGACGGCUCGAGCAGGUGCGAAAGCAGGUCUUAGUGAUCCGGUGGUUCUGAAUGGAAGGGCCAUCGCUCAACGGAUAAAAGGUACUCCGGGGAUAACAGGCUGAUACCGCCCAAGAGUUCAUAUCGACGGCGGUGUUUGGCACCUCGAUGUCGGCUCAUCACAUCCUGGGGCUGAAGUAGGUCCCAAGGGUAUGGCUGUUCGCCAUUUAAAGUGGUACGCGAGCUGGGUUUAGAACGUCGUGAGACAGUUCGGUCCCUAUCUGCCGUGGGCGCUGGAGAAUUGAGGGGGGCUGCUCCUAGUACGAGAGGACCGGAGUGGACGCAUCACUGGUGUUCGGGUUGUCAUGCCAAUGGCAUUGCCCGGUAGCUAAAUGCGGAAGAGAUAAGUGCUGAAAGCAUCUAAGCACGAAACUUGCCCCGAGA
rnacentral:rRNA from 1 species